rnacentral:rRNA from 1 species
AGAGUUGAUCCUGGCUCAGGAUGAACGCUAGCGACAGGCUUAACACAUGCAAGUCGAGGGGCAGCAUAGAAGUAGCAAUACUUGGUGGCGACCGGCGCACGGGUGAGUAACGCGUAUGCAACCUACCUAUCAGAGGGGGAUAACCCGGCGAAAGUCGGACUAAUACCGCAUAAAACAGGGGCACCGCAUGGUGAUAUUUGUUAAAGAUUAAUUGCUGAUAGAUGGGCAUGCGUUCCAUUAGGUAGUUGGUGAGGUAACGGCUCACCAAGCCUACGAUGGAUAGGGGAACUGAGAGGUUGGUCCCCCACACUGGUACUUGAGACACGGACCAGACUCCUACGGGAGGCAGCAGUGAGGAAUAUUGGUCAAUGGGCGAGAGCCUGAACCAGCCAAGUCGCGUGAAGGAAGAAGGAUCUAUGGUUCGUAACUUCUUUGCAGGGGAAUAAAGUGGAGGACGUGUCCUCUUUUGUAUGUACCCUGAGAAUAAGGAUCGGCUAACUCCGUGCCAGCCGCCGC